rnacentral:lncRNA from 1 species
AUCACUUCUGCCUCAGACACAUCUCUCUUUGGAGGACACUUAAUUCGUGGAUGCAUCUCUCCCUCCAAAAACCAUCAUUGAAGGGCUACACGAUGUCUGUCUAAAGAAGACAGUGAGAACACUGGACGUCAAUGCACACAGAAGGGCCAGCCUUUCUCCCAUUUUGGAAUGAGGGGAAGAAACAAAGAAUCAGAGAGCACAUCCAGAAAAGCCUCUGGAACCACUCCCACAAGCUGAGGGUCUGCUGUAGAUCUCGCUUCCUUGGUGCUCACAAAGUUUCAUCAACUCCUGGGGGGCAGAUCUGUCAGCUUUUCCAAGGGAUUGGGUGACAUCCAAAUGUCAUGUUGGAAAGUACCACUUAGUAGUCUCUCUCUCCUGGAAUGAAAGAAUCUUUGAGUCAACAUGGGAACAUCACAUAUUCAACAGCUUCCCAAAGGCUUAAAUGUUGAUUUAUCUGUGUUGCUGGCCAACCCAGGCUCCUUGCUGACUUAGCACAUGGACUGGAGAGAAUCGUACCUUUUAGUCUGAAGAUCAGGAUCCAUAAUCUAAAGGAGCAAGAGGCAGCAGGAGACUCAUCCCCAAUAUCCUCUCUUAGUCUUCCAACUCAAAACUGGCCAACAGGACUGAACAAACCGAAAAUGUGAACACACAUUGCUUUGCAAGAUGCCAUUGAUGUCACAGCACAGCCAUUUGGAAAAAGUGAGAUAGGCCCUAGUUUUCCCUUCAAAUAACUAGUUCCAUAGCAAAAAAUAAAAAUUAGCAUUGUUUUUUUCUUUUUAAGACUACGUGACAGUAAACAACAAUUUGGCUAAGUUUUUUUUCCUAACAGAAUGUUUUUGAGUAUCAUGUAGUCAUUCCUGUAGUCAAAGCACAAAUUAGUCCACAGAGGUGACUAAUUUUUUUAAAAGUUGCAACUUUCCUUGGUAAUCUAUUCCUAAGCUUUACAAUUUUCUCUCCCAAGAAUUUAUUCCUCACGUUGGACCUGGACCAUUUCUCUCACAACUGUCUCUUCUUUUGUCUUCAGAAAAAAUAAAGAACAUUAUAUUACUAAAUACAAUGGUGUAGUAUACCUUUGCCUAAGUGAAAUAUUGGUCUGUUCCCUCAAAUUUCUCCCAUGCAACUCAAAUAAUCAUAAAAUCCUAAUUUCUUCAUCUCCUUCUUAUACGUUAUUGUUUAUACAUAGGUGCUAUCUGUUGUUUCCAAAGUUCUAAAUAGUUCUGACACUUGCGAUUCAGAAUUGGUGCUGUCUUCUCAAGUUCUUGGUCAAAGAUCUUCCGCCGAAAGCCUGAUUGAGGGCCACCUGGGCAGCAGCCAUCGACGUAUCUGGGAGGCCCCAGUCUCCUCUGAGCAUGGUGGUUAAGACUGUGGGAGUGGAGGCAGACCAAUCUGUGUUUGAAUUCCAGCUAUGCCAUUUACUGUUUGUUCAUACUUGGGUAGUAAUUAACAGCCCUGUGCUUAGGAAAUGAGGCUAGUAAUUGUACCUAUUUUGUAAAAUUUUUAUGAAGAUGGAAUGAGACAAAACCGUGAAAUAAUAGACACUUCGACAAUCAUGUUAGGGAUUGUUAGAAUAAAC